UUAAAAUAAAGACAGGGUCCAACCUUGCACCUGCAAAGUCCUGCCUUGCUCUCCGCACCCUAACACAGCCCUGCUCAGCCCAAGAGCUUUGAAUCUGAAUACAAAUCAUUCCAGACUUCAAGGUCAAGUUAAAGUGUUAAUCGUCUACCAGAAUGUGAUUUCUAGCUUUAAAAAGAAAACCAAGAAAACAACUUCCACAUCAAUGCAAAGGUUUUCUCAUUUCACCAGGUUUUUGUUUUCCCGUCUGUUUACCUGAUGGUUUACUAAAGAGGUGAAGAAGUCUGUGGCUGAAUGAACACAUUGAAUAAUUGCAGAGACUUAAAUUCUUAAAUAUUCAUCAAAAUAUUUUACCUUUUUUUUUUUUGAGAUGAAGUCUCACUCUGUUGCCCAGGCUGUAGUGCAGUAGCAUGAUCUCGGCUCACUGCAACCUCCGCCUCCCAGGUUCAAGCAAUUCUCCUGCCUCAGCCUCCUGAGUAGCUGGGACUACAGACACAUGCCACCACACCUGGUUAAUUUUUGUAUUUUUAGUAGAGGCAGGGUUUCUCCAUGUUGGUCAGGCUGGUCUCAAACUCCUGACCUCGGGUGAUCCACCCACCUCGGCCUCCCAAAAUGCUGGGAUUACAGGUGUGAGUCACCACGCUUGGCCAUGCCCGUUGUUUCUGCUGCUUGCUGUGUAGACCACUGUGAUGACCAUCUUCUUAUUGACCCUCCUGUGUCUCUGGAGCCCCGCCACCUGCCUUCUACCUGGAGCCUUCCUUCCAGAUCCUUCUUCAACACCAGCCCCAGGAUCUGCAAGAUCUUUGGAUAUGGCUGCUGCAGAAGGAAGGAGAACCACUUCCUGGAGAAGCAGGAGUGAGCCAGGAUCUGCCACAAGAGAGAGCCGGGAACCCAGGGCAUGGGUUAAGGCGAGGAGCAGGUCCGGAGGGAAGAUCUGAGGCAAAGAGAGAGCCUGUCACCUGUGCUGCCUUGAGAUGCUGACAUCUGAGGAUGCCCCAGACAGGGCCUGUGGCUGCUUUCUGAAAUAGUGCAGCACCUUCUCUGCUUCCUCCUCAACCUUCUCCUUCACAGCAGAACCCUGCCUCCUUCCUCUCCCCACAGGCUUGUUUCAGCAUUUAUUUGAUCAACUGAGCACCAAAAGAACACAAACCACAUUCCUUUGUUUUUUCAUCACGUUACCCCCAGCACUUAGCACAGUGCCUGGCACAAAGGAGGUAGUCUGUAAAUAUUUGCGUAAUGAAUGAAUAAAUGAGGGCAUGAGUACAUCUCCUCUGCCCAGGAUGGAUGACAGGCUGAGGGUUUGAAUUCAGGACUCUCUCACCGUAGCCCUCAUUCUCACUGCAUCCUCACCUUCGUCCUCCACCCCCCACCCCCCCACUGGGUUCCUUGGGGAUGGCAGGGGUGGAGUUUCUGGCAUCCAGUUCUGAGCAUCAGUUCUGCCAAGUAGUGGUGGUGGGGGGGUUUUCAUGAAAGAAUCCCCCUCGCUCCCUGUGAUGUUGGACAUUUUUCCUUGUCUGUGUAGUUUCAGGCUUUGUCUCUCUGGCCUUAUACAAUAUUUAAAAACAUUCAUUUUCCAAUUAAACAAACUGGAUUGGA